GGCGAUAAGGUGGAGGAAAGAUUUUCAGAACUGCUAUGGAUAAAAGGCACUUUAUAAGGGAAGAAGAAGGAGAAUGAUUGGACACUAUGGACCAGUGACUAUGACGAU
rnacentral:lncRNA from 1 species